rnacentral:rRNA from 1 species
AACGAACGCUGGCGGCAGGCCUAACACAUGCAAGUCGAACGCUGUAGCAAUACAGAGUGGCAGACGGGUGAGUAACGCGUGGGAACAUACCCUUCGGUUCGGAAUAACUCAGGGAAACUUGAGCUAAUACCGGAUACGUGCGAGAGCAGAAAGAUCCAUCGCCGAAGGAUUGGCCCGCGUUCGAUUAGCUUGUUGGUGAGGUAAUGGCUCACCAAGGCGACGAUCGAUAGCUGGUCUGAGAGGAUGAUCAGCCACAUUGGGACUGAGACACGGCCCAAACUCCUACGGGAGGCAGCAGUGGGGAAUAUUGGACAAUGGGCGAAAGCCUGAUCCAGCCAUGCCGCGUGAGUGAUGAAGGCCCUAGGGUUGUAAAGCUCUUUCGUCAGGGACGAUAAUGACGGUACCUGAAG